UACGUAGGGUGCAAGCGUUAAUCGGAAUUACUGGGCGUAAAGCGUGCGCAGGCGGUUGUGCAAGACAGAUGUGAAAUCCCCGGGCUCAACCUGGGAAUUGCAUUUGUGACUGCACGGCUAGAGUGUGUCAGAGGGGGGUAGAAUUCCACGUGUGAGCAGUGAAAUGCGUAGAGAUGUGGAGGAAUACCGAUGGCGAAGGCAGCCCCCUGGGAUAACACUGACGCCUCAUGCACGAAAGCGUGGGGAGCAAACAGGG
rnacentral:rRNA from 1 species